AAUGUGAAAGCCCCCGGCUCAACCGGGGAGGGUCAUUGGAAACUGGGGAACUUGAGUGCAGAAGAGGAGAGUGGAAUUCCACGUGUAGCGGUGAAAUGCGUAGAGAUGUGGAGGAACACCAGUGGCGAAGGCGACUCUCUGGUCUGUAACUGACGCUGAGGAGCGAAAGCGUGGGGAGCGAACAGGAUUAGAUACCCUGGUAGUCCACGCCGUAAACGAUGAGUGCUAAGUGUUAGGGGGUUUCCGCCCCUUAGUGCUGCAGCUAACGCAUUAAGCACUCCGCCUGGGGAGUACGGUCGCAAGACUGAAACUCAAAGGAAUUGACGGGGGCCCGCACAAGCGGUGGAGCAUGUGGUUUAAUUCGAAGCAACGCGAAGAACCUUACCAGGUCUUGACAUCCUCUGACACUCCUAGAGAUAGGACGUCCCCUUCGGGGGCAGAGUGACAGGUGGUGCAUGGUUGUCGUCAGCUCGUGUCGUGAGAUGUUGGGUUAAGUCCCGCAACGAGCGCAACCCUUGAUCUUAGUUGCCAGCAUUCAGUUGGGCACUCUAAGGUGACUGCCGGUGACAAACCGGAGGAAGGUGGGGAUGACGUCAAAUC
rnacentral:rRNA from 1 species